GCGCGGGUGGCGGAACUGGUAUACGCGCACGUUUGAGGGGCGUGUGCCGCAAGGCAUGAGGGUUCGACCCCCUCCCCGCGCA
rnacentral:tRNA from 1 species